AGUAUUUUCUUACAAGCAGUAGUCAGCUGUUCUAAGUAAUGGUUCUUUUUCAGUAACAUCAAGAAUCUGCUGACAUCCGUUGUGGAUUUAAGAGCCUCAGACUGGGGUAGAUUAACACCUCCACCAGCAGUGCGGAAUGAUUCUGUUGUGGCUGAGAAUUAUAUGUAUGGCACGGUAUUCUAUGGACCAGAUGGACGACCAAUUUCUUCAGAAGAAGUCACUUUCUUACAGAAAUCCUGUAGCAAUCUCAGUUCUUCAAAUGUAACCAAUGGUGAAUUAUAUGGGACAGAAGAUCCUGAUGGGGAAGUCAUGGACGAAGAAAUGCAAGCAGCUUUCGAAGAGUUUUUGCGAGAAACUGGACAAUAACCUUAAGAUGAGGGGGUUUAAAAAAUGUAGAUCAUGAUGUAUAUUUAUGUUAGUUUUUUUUUCUUCUUAGGGUAACAUUUUGUUAUGAAGUUAACCAUAAGAUGUAUUAAUACAGGUGAAUUUAUUAAUCAUUGAUAACAUUUUGAUAGUUUGUGUUUUCUGUUUUUUUUUUAGACAUAGGAUAACACUUAGUAUGGUAUUUGGUAAUUUCUAACGUAUAAAAUUAAUAUAAUCGUAAGUAAUUCUGUUCAAUCUUAUUUGGAUGCGCCAGAAACCUUGUACCCAAUAAAUUGUAAAGAUUGACAAGUACACAGUUUUUUUAUAUCCAUUAAGCAAAGAAAGGAACAAACAGCUGGUAAUGUACUCCUCCUCUUAAAUGUCAUAGUUAUAUGUAUACAUUUAUUUUCCAUGACUAAUAAUACACAAUAGUGUAUUUUACUGUAUAUGAGAAAUUAAGAUUAUUUUUGUAAGGGUGUGCUCCUUAAGUAGUCUUUAUUUUCUGAACAUGCAUUGGUUUUAAAUUCAAUAGAAACUGAAAGUGUUAGCUGUAAGAUUUUUAAACAGAAAUGAAAUACAUUCCUAUAGUAAGUUAAAAACUUUGGGUUUAUAAGCAGUAGCAUACUUACAAUAAAAUUUAAUGUUUCCAAUCAGUAAAUUGUGGCAAAUUCUUUUAAAGAAGGGGGUAGGUGAUAA